UAUGGUCAAAUCAUGCUGGAAAGACUAGUUCUUGUUUGAUCACCAAAGUUAAACAGCAUAAAACCUGGUUAGUACUUAGAUGGGGGACCACUUGGGAACACUGAGUACUGUAAG